UACGAAGGGGGCUAGCGUUGCUCGGAAUCACUGGGCGUAAAGCGCACGUAGGCGGGUCUUUAAGUCAGGGGUGAAAUCCUGGAGCUCAACUCCAGAACUGCCUUUGAUACUGAGGAUCUCGAGUCCGGGAGAGGUGAGUGGAACUCCGAGUGUAGAGGUGAAAUUCGUAGAUAUUCGGAAGAACACCAGUGGCGAAGGCGGCUCACUGGCCCGGUACUGACGCUGAGGUGCGAAAGCGUGGGGAGCAACAGGA
rnacentral:rRNA from 1 species